UCGAGAGCUGUGUCUGUGCACAGUGCUAGGUGCUGGGUAUACCACAGAAAAUAAGUGAGACACGGUACUUGUUCUGAAGGACAUCACAGUUCAGUUGUGGGAGAUGGAGACAAAGAUGACUUCUCACUGCUUCCUGGCCUUUUUAUUGCAAAGGGCCCACCGCCAUCUCCAUCCCAAACACUCUGGAAGUUUUACAGACAGCCUCUUUGCAGCCUUGCCCUGAUGGGUGGCUGGCUGCGUGAGGGUGAGCAACGCCCAGGUGGGGGCUUCCUUUUGCCAACUCCUCCAGUUCCCAGCCAAGAGAGGCCGGCACCAGACACGGGACGCGGCUUCCGGGCACGCCGAAGGCUGGAGCCGGGCUUGCUGGAUUAAUAGUUGAAGAACUUGUGCUUCGUUCUGUAGGGUUUCCUGUAGUCUGCGUUUUGCUGAUUGCUUCCCUGCACUGGACAUGUUGCUUUGUUCUCCAUAUUUCCUCCAAUUCAAUGGUAUUUUCUGCCAAUUGGAAGUAAGAGCUAAAGGCUUGGAUUCUAUGGUUUUGACAAGCAUGCGAUGACACGCGCCUACAGGACCACGCAGAAUAGCUUCACCCCUACAAAAACCCUCUGAACCGCACCUGUCCAUCUACCCCACCACCCGAAGCUAACCCCCUGGCAACCACGGGUCUUUUUAUUGUCUCCAUAGUUUCGCUUUUCCAGAAUGUCAAACAGUCGGAAUCAUAUGUGGCCUUUUCGGAUUGGCUUCUUUCACUUAGCAACAUGAUUUAAAGUUCCUCCACGGCUUUCUGUGGCAUGACAGCUCAUUUCUCUUUUUUUGUGUGGAAUAAUAUUCCAUCAUAUGGAUG